rnacentral:rRNA from 1 species
GUAGGGAAUCUUCCACAAUGGGCGAAAGCCUGAUGGAGCAACGCCGCGUGAGCGAAGAAGGUCUUCGGAUCGUAAAGCUCUGUUGUAAGGGAAGAACAAGCGCAGCAGUAACUGGCUGCGCCCUGACGGUACCUUACUAGAAAGCCACGGCUAACUACGUGCCAGCAGCCGCGGUAAUACGUAGGUGGCAAGCGUUGUCCGGAAUUAUUGGGCGUAAAGCGCGCGCAGGCGGUCUCUUAAGUCUGAUGUGAAAGCCCCCGGCUCAACCGGGGAGGGUCAUUGGAAACUGGGAGACUUGAGUGCAGGAGAGGGAAGUGGAAUUCCAUGUGUAGCGGUGAAAUGCGUAGAGAUAUGGAGGAACACCAGUGGCGAAGGCGGCUUCCUGGCCUGUAACUGACGCUGAGGCGCGAAAGCGUGGGGAGCAAACAGGAUUAGAUACCCGAGUAGUCC